GGGUGGACCAACUGGGAUUUUCAUAGGUUGGUUUCAUUUAAACUCAGUUGUCUGGGUGGUUUCAGUAGUCAAAUGUACUUUCUGUUUAUGUCCUUUUCUUUUGCAUGUUUGUACCUUGUCUGGUGUUGUUUCCACUGCAAAUAAUGGUGCCUUCACUAGCAUCAGAACUAGGGUAAUCUGCAGCAUUUUAGUUUGAUUUCUCACUUUUCUUUUGCAAAGACAUGGUUUGUUUGCUGUUUGUCAACAGCUUUACUUUUUCGUUACCCAUACUUUGAUCGAUGAUUCUAUCAGGCCAAAUAGAAAAUGAUUGUAUGUUAACACCUUCUUUUAAUUAAAUUACUGAGUAGCAUAGCAUUUAAAAUGGUUCCAUUAAGCCUUUCUUCUGAAUCUCAUUUAUAUGUUUUCUGUUGUGUUGUGCCAGUUUUGACCGUUUAGAGCAGUAAGAUUAAAUACCAUCUCCAUAUUUCCUAACCAUAUACAGAGCCUGUUAUUAGUUUGGCUAAUGGGGCUAUAAUUUAUGGUCCAAGGACGUGCCUUUGUAUUCCUUGUCUUGCACUUCAUGUCAUUAAAUCUUUGUUCUUCAUGAUUUUGAAAUUUGGUAGUGGUGGCCUGAUUUUGACAAAUCAAACUCUUUUAGAGUAGUUAGCUGAUUUUCAUGAUAUUGGAAUAGAAAGUCCUGUGCUUAAACCACUAGACCUGCCAAUUUCACAUAUAAAACUUAUUAUUACAUGCGGUGGAGUGGAACUUAUAUAAUGUUGGAUGUAGUAAAAAACAAGUAAUUUUAAGUUGGAGCAAUAAUAGAAAUUUUAGAAAUUAGCCUUAACUGCGUAUAAAAGUUACAAAUGUUAGAAGUUUUGGUUCUAUGAGGCACAACCUCUGCCAAGCAAUGUCAUUCUGCAUUUUCAAUUUUUCAGCGGUACUGAUGAUUCUUUUAAAAUGAUAACUUCAGCAGAAAAUGGUGACGGAUGUAUUGCUUUAUUAGUGAUGGAAUAGAAUGUUUUGCUUUAACUUAGCAAGUCUUAUGUAAUAUUGUAAAUUUACAUUAAUAUCUUUCCAGAAUUUUUCAACGCCUGAGGACC
rnacentral:misc_RNA from 1 species